rnacentral:tRNA from 1 species
GGGGGCAUAGCUCAGUUGGUAGAGCGCAUCCAUGGCAUGGAUGAGGUCGUGAGUUCGAGUCUCUCUGCCUCCA